ACUCAAAUGAAUUGACGGGGGCCCGCACAAGCAGUGGAGUAUGUGGUUUAAUUCGAAGCAACGCGAAGAACCUUACCAGGACUUGACAUAUAUGUGACACCUCUAGAGAUAGUGGCUCCCUUCGGGGCACUUAUACAGGUGGUGCAUGGUUGUCGUCAGCUCGUGUCGUGAGAUGUUGGGUUAAGUCCCGCAACGAGCGCAACCCUUGUUGUUAGUUGCCAUCAUUUAGUUGGGCACUCUAGCAAGACUGCCGGUGACAAAUCGGAGGAAGGUGGGGAUGACGUCAAAUCAUCAUGCCCCUUAUGUCCUGGGCUACACACGUACUACAAUGGCUGAAACAAAGGGAUGCAAUAUAGCGAUAUGGAGCAAAUCCCAAAAUACAGUCCCAGUUCGGAUUGUAGGCUGAAACUCGCCUGCAUGAAGUCGGAAUUGCUAGUAAUCGUAGGUCAGCAUACUACGGUGAAUACGUUCCCGGGCCUUGUACACACCGCCCGU
rnacentral:rRNA from 1 species